UUAUUACUCCCUCCGUUCCGAAUUACUUGUCUUGGAUUUGUCUAGAUACGGAUGUAUCUAGACUGCUAGAUACAUCCGUAUCUAGACAAAUCCAAGACAAGUAAUUCGGAACGGAGGGAGUAGCUC
rfam:Triticum aestivum genome assembly, contig: Triticum_aestivum_CS42_TGACv1_scaffold_220674_3B